GGAGAGAUGGCUCAGUGGUUAAGAGCACUAGGUGCUCUCCCAGAGGUCCUGAGUUCAAAUCCCAGCAACCCCA
rnacentral:tRNA from 1 species